AUUGAACGCUGGCGGCAGGCCUAACACAUGCAAGUCGAACGAGUGGCGGACGGGUGAGUAAUGUCUGGGAAACUGCCUGAUGGAGGGGGAUAACUACUGGAAACGGUAGCUAAUACCGCAUACCAUCAGAUGUGCCAAGAUGGGAUUAGCUAGUUGGUGGGGUAACGGCGCACCAAGGCGACGAUCCCUAGCUGGUCUGAGAGGAUGACCAGCCAAACUGGAACGGAAACACGGUCCGAACUCCUACGGAGGGCGGCAGUGGGGAAUAUUGCACAAGGGGCGCAAGCCUAAUGCGGCCAUGCCGCGUGUAUGUAAAAGGCCUUCGGGUUUUAAAGUACUUUCAGCGGGGAGGCGUUACCCGCAGAAGAAGCACCGGCUAACUCCGUGCCAGCAGCCGCGGUAAUAC
rnacentral:rRNA from 1 species